AUAAUUAGUUUUGAAAAGCAAUCUCAUAAAUUAAGUCGGCUUAAAUAAAAACCCGUUCGAUGUUACCACUGUUAUAAGUAAUUUAAUGUAUACCUGAAAGCAACGAUUAACCCUUGCUAACUAAAAAACGAUUCUGAGCGGAGUUAUGUUGAUAGUGAUGCUUUGUCAAAAAUGUAUAUGACAUAUUAGAGUAAAAUAAUUAAAUAGGUAUGAUGUAUUAAUGUUUAAUGUUGAACCGAUUUUCUCGGUUUUUCACAUUUGCUGGGAAAACUUUUGGGAAAAUCGAAAAAUGACUAAUAUCGACGUUUGAUAUCUUCAUGAGGCGUUCUGUAUACUGAAUACCGUAUAGGUAGGUACUAGAUUUACAUGUCUCAGCUGGUUUUUCGUUACGAAUUAAGAAUGUCUCGAUAAAUGUCCAGAGAUAAAUUGUCAAACAAAAAUAACAAAUUUUUAUGAGAAUAUUUUAGAGGGAACACAAUUAUUAAUUAAUAUCUUAACUAAUCUAUUUUAAAUAGAUGAUAUUCUAUUGAAUAUUUUUAUUUUUCAAAUAUUGGGAAACAAUGU